rnacentral:antisense_RNA from 1 species
GUUGCAGGUUUCAAAUGUAUUUUCUGUAAGAAAGUCAAGAGGGUGCCACUCCCAUCCAAGGAUAAUCCUAAUCCCUGACUUCAGCUUCUUGUUAUCUAUGCCAUCUGUAAAGGUUACCUAUCCUUAGACAUAUUAGAAACCAUAUCAGUAACCAUAUGAUAUUUAAAAUCUUGAGAUCAAUUGUGUCAAGUAAAACAAAUUAAAUCAUGCCAGAUACAAAUUAUGAUUUUUUCCAUAAAAGCAUCAUCUUCAGGAAGGACCUCAGGAUCCUUCCUGAGGAUGGUAUAACUUCGCGGCAGCCCUCCCAGAAAGACUCCUGUGUUAUCUCCAAUAACAGUACUACCAUUCAGGAUGGCAGAGGAACCUAGAGAAGAGGAGAUAAGAAAUACACCUUCACCAGGAUACUCUUAUUUUUACUAGCUCAGCAAAUAAUAAAAUCCUUCACCAGCUUUCGGGAUACCA